rnacentral:rRNA from 1 species
GAUGAACGCUAGCGACAGGCUUAACACAUGCAAGUCGAGGGGCAGCGGGGGAGCAGCAAUGCUCCCGCCGGCGACCGGCGCACGGGUGAGUAACACGUAUGGAACCUGCCCGCAGCAGGGGGAUAAGCGGAAGAAAUUCCGUCUAAUACCGCGUAACACCGCGGAGGGGCAUCCCUCCUCGGUUAAAGAUUCAUCGGCUGCGGAUGGCCAUGCGGCGCAGUAGCUAGUCGGCGGGGUAACGGCCCACCGAGGCGACGAUGCGUAGGGGUUCUGAGAGGAAGGUCCCCCACACUGGUACUGAGACACGGACCAG